AUGCCAAGCCACAAAUUCGCCUACCCCAAGGGCGUUCUACACGCCUGGAUCAGCGACAUUCGUCAGGUGGUCUCCAUCGAGUCAAUCCGCCAGUUGUUCCGUCACUCUGGUGAUGGAUAUGUGAUCUGUGCGUACGAGCGGAUGGUGGACGGGAUGUACGGCGUGGAGGCGUACAUCGAGUUCCGGUCUCAAUGGAGGGCGGCGCGAGCUCGAGAUGCCCUGGAUGGCCAUGCUAUCUACGAGGGUUGUUGCAUCCUUGCCGUUGACCUUGUCCCGCCGGUCUACACCACCAUCACCAUGCCGGAUGACGACGGGAUGGCGCCCUCGUGCUUCUACGACGACACUCCCUACGCGGAGUGGACUGCAGCAUUGGCCGCGGUCGAGCGCCAUGAUGAGGCGCUCGCUACAUCCACUGACGACCUCCAACUCAAGGCGUCCAUGGGCGCCAUCAGCUUGACUCCCUUCGAGUUCGCCUCUCCUACAACAUCCACGCCGUCCACAACCACCGGUGACACCGUUCUAGAGCUCGCUGUGAGCGACAAGGUGCUUGAAAUUGACUCCACCAUGGUAGCUGCUCCAACACCCACCACAUGUUCGAUGGGGUGCCCAAGCGGCGAUGCAUCUGAGGAGUCAGUGCUCACUUCAUCUGCAGCAGUACCUUCAUCCAUGACCACCACCGACAUCGUUCCUGAGCUCACUGCAACUGGUGGCUGCUCCUCAGUGGCGCACACCACCUGUUCGACUACGGGUCUUGACCCAUACAUAGGGCAUAUCCAGGCCGCUGAGGUGCCCUUGCUCAUGGUGGACCAGUUCCUGAUGGCCCUUGAUGUCUUCUCUGAGAUCGCGACCUCUAUGGGCAAGCUCACGGUCGAUCCUUCCAUGGUUCUGCUCAAAACCGGUUUGAGUGCGUGUUCUGAAAGUGAUGAUGGCAUAUCAUCCCAUGUGUCAUCGACAUACCAGUGCUCUCCAGUUCAUUGGGAACCACCUUGGCCACUACCACCUCAACGUAUAUUUGAGAAGCUAUUCUUGAGCGAGCCAUACGGAAAAUGCUACCAGAAUUACCUUGAGUACAUCUAG
rnacentral:rRNA from 1 species